CAGAGCUGGCCUUGAUUGGAGAAUCUCCCUGUGGGGAUGGUCACCAAACCUCUAAGCUGGUGGUUCUCCCCAAGAGUUGACCUCCAUGACCCACUCUCUCUAGGGCUCUCUGCAGUCAUUGUCACCAAGAGCAAAGAACAUAAUUUGCACCUCACUGGACCCAUCCUUGCCUUCUCCAACCAAAGCUGAGACCAAACUCUAGUCUACGAAAGGCCCCCUUACUCUCUUAUAUUAGUUUUCCAUUGCUGUGGCAAUUGACCACAGACUUAGCUACACAGACCACCACCCGUGUAUUAGCUCACAGCUCUUUAGGUCAGAGUUUGACCCUAAUAUUCCUGGUUCCUCUGCUCAGGGUCUCACACAGACUGAAUGUCAAUGUGUUGAUGCCUUUAGACCCAACAAUGAUCAUUAUUCAAGCAAAAAAAACACACACACAUCCUUAAUAUUGAGCGUUUACUCUAUGCCAGGCAUAUUCCACCAACCAUCUCGUUUGAUUUUUCUAAAAUUCUACGAGAUUUAUUACUGUUUCUUGUUUUACAGACAAGGAAGCAAAGCCUUUGAGAAGUUAAGUAACAUAUUCAGUGGCAUGCACUGAGAAGUGGUCCAAGCUGGGUUUGAACACUGUGCUAUGCUGUUGCAUCGAAGAAAAUGUGGUGCACUCGGCAUGGAGUCGAGAGGCGACUGCUCCUGGUGGCCAUCCUUUUGCCCAGAGUACAUGCCCGGCUGCACAGUUGAGAAAUCAGUCUUGGCUGGUAAAGGUGCAAGAGAAGAGGAGGAUGUGAGUGGGAAGCCACAGCAUGCCAGGGCACCAGAGAUGCUGCACUCAGUAAGCUUUCGCAGCACUGGCCUGGAGAAGAUUCCAGAGAUGGGUGCAGCGAUGUCAGGGGUCUGUGGCAAGCCCCCAGUGGCCUCCAAGUAUCGGACAAGUUUUUCUCCACUCAGGGCCCGGGUUUCUCAUCUUUGCAACAAGUUCUCCCUCACUCUGACUAUCUAUGAUUCUCAGGUUGGAAUCAUUGUUUUUAAAUAUUUUUUUAUUUUCCACUUUUGGCUCCCAUAUAAGAGGGAUGACAAUGUAACAGGGUAAAAAAACACCGACCAGGGCAGGUGCCACUCUUGACCUACCCGCUGCCCCUGGACAGACUUGGGCUCUCUGUUCACAGCCCUGAGAAUCUGUACUUCAGUCCACUUCAGCUGCUCUCACAGAAUACCACUGAGUAGGUAGGUUAUAAAUGACAGAAAUUUAUGCCUCACGCUUCUGCAGGCUAGAAGUCCAAGAUCCAGGUGCCAGCAGGUGUGUCUGGGAACCUCUCCCUGGUUCAUAGAUGACCAUCUUCUUGCUGUGUCCUCACUUGGUGGAAGGAUGGAGGGAGCUCUCUGAGGUCUCUUUAUAAGAGCACUAAUACCUUUCAUGGGGGCUCCACUCUCAUGACCUAAUUGUCUCUCGAAGGCCCACCUCCUAAUACAUCUCAUUGGGGGUUAGGAUUGUAUAGAUGUAUUUUGGGGAGACACAAACAAUCAGUCUCCAGCCAUCAGCUUCUUCAUCAGUGAGAUGAACAUUUCACACCUGGGUAGUAGGGCUGUUUUGAGGCUCAGAGAAAAUAAGUCACAUAAAACGGCCAUCACAAAGCCUGUGCUCAGGGAACUGUGGCAGGAGUGAUUUGCUGGACUUCUGUCUCUGAGCCCACAAGGAUUGAGCUGGUCAACUUGGUGGAGGUCCAUUGGCAAGACACCUGGAUAAAUGUUUUGGUCACCAUGGCCAGCUGGGGUCUCCAUCUCGUGGCCUUUUGUCUCCCCACACCAGUGGAGUCGGCACUAAAUUCACCUGAAGGUAGGAUUCAUUCUCUUUGGCUAUAGGGCAUCCAGGACAAUGUCAAUGGAAAUAGGAAGAAAGGAAGGAAGGGCACUAAAAGAAAAACAUGGAGGAAAGGGCGAAACAGCGGGAGAGGAGAUUUUUCAAUCAGUGAUCUGGUCUGAAACCUGAGUGUAGUCGGCCAGUGUGCACCCUCGGGAACCACCUCCACCUCUCCCUGGCCUGCUGGCUGUGUGGCCUUGGCAGGUUGCCCAAAUGUCUCUGUGCCUCAUUU
rnacentral:lncRNA from 1 species